UACAGAGGUCCCAAGCGUUGUUCGGAAUCACUGGGCGUAAAGCGCACGUAGGCGGCUUUUUAAGUCAGGGGUGAAAUCCUGGAGCUCAACUCCAGAACUGCCUUUGAUACUGAGAAGCUUGAGUCCGGGAGAGGUGAGUGGAACUGCGAGUGUAGAGGUGAAAUUCGUAGAUAUUCGCAAGAACACCAGUGGCGAAGGCGGCUCACUGGCCCGGUACUGACGCUGAGGUGCGAAAGCGUGGGGAGCAAACAGG
rnacentral:rRNA from 1 species